UGCUCUUCGACUCAUGCCCUUAGGGUUUUUAAGUGCUCCUUAAAGUAGGUUCUUGGAGGAGCUACUGAUUAAAAAAAAAGUAUUAAAAUAUUGUGGCAUUCGACACUUUUUUGGAGGAACAAAGAGGAACACUUCUCUGGAGGUAGGCAGUGAGCAAACCUGGCAGCUUGUCAGCCAUGUACAAUAUGCCCAUUAUAUGGAGUGGUGCAUUUACAUUGGAGCAAGGUUCUCCUGCCCCACACAAGGACUGGAAUGAAGUGAGUCACAGCUAACAAAUGGAUUUGGAUUCUCCCACACUGGCGACAAUGUGUGAUAUGUGGGCCUGCUGUAAUUCAUUCUCAAGCAGGACAGCAGCCUGGGAAACUUUCAGCCUGGAAGAUGUCAAUUUCAAAAUGACUGAAGCGAAUGAGAAGAGGGAAGCAGAAUGGAAACCUCUAUGCAAGUUUAACUAUAGUAAUUGCUACCAAUAAUUUGUAAUAAUUUGUUGUCCAAUUUCAGUACAGACACCAUGAAUAAAACCUCUGUUGAUUAACUUAGUGUGUUUCCUUAUAGGUGUACUUGGGUUUUGUACACACCAGUAUGUCAAUCCAUUCAGUAUGGACCUAGGAGUUUCUACUCUAGAAAUUUACAUGAGGAAAUUCAAUAGCAUCUCAGCAUCAUUCUCUAAUAAAGUAUGUGACUACUUAAAAUUUAUUGCAAACAGAUCGCUCUUUCUCUUAAACUCAGUUACAGUUCAUUGUUUUUGUAGUAGAGCUCACAGUUAAAAUGUGUCAAUUUGAAACAUCAGUAUAUAAAAGUUUGUCCCA